UACGUAGGGUGCGAGCGUUGUCCGGAAUUAUUGGGCGUAAAGAGCUCGUAGGCGGUGUGUCACGUCGGCCGUGAAAACCUGGGGCUUAACUCUGGGCGUGCGGUCGAUACGGGCAUCACUGGAGUUCGGCAGGGGAGACUGGAAUUCCUGGUGUAGCGGUGAAAUGCGCAGAUAUCAGGAGGAACACCGGUGGCGAAGGCGGGUCUCUGGGCCGAUACUGACGCUGAGGAGCGAAAGCAUGGGUAGCGAACAGG
rnacentral:rRNA from 1 species